CCCCGGGGCUGCUGCCUUCCGCGGCAGUUAGGAAGGCCCCGCCUGGGCGCCUGCUCGGAGGCCUCCCCCUCGUGCUUUUCUUGCGGAAGCCAGUGCUCAGGGACGUCUAGACAGCGGAACUCUGGCCGUCAUGAGGUCCGCAGACAGCCGGCAGCUGCUCCCCAAGAGUGAACCAGCCCGCGCUUCUGACCAGUUGGCACCCGGAGGGAGUCCAGUGGAGGGACAGGAAUCCGUGGAGGCAGCUGACGGACAGUGGUCUUCAGCUCAAAGUACGCGGGCCUCUCACUGUUGCGGCCUCUCCCGCUGCAGAGCACAGGCUCCGGACGCGCAGGCUCAGCAGCCAUGGCUCACGGGCCCAGCCGCUCCGUGAUACGUGGGAUCCUCCCGGACCGGGGCACGAACUUGCAUCCCUGCAUCGGCGGACUCCCAACCACUGCGCCACCAGGGAAGCCCAAGCAUCUCGUUUUAUUUGUGCAUCAAUGACUCACGUGCUUUCGUGGAACACACGAAACACACUCAGCUCUGUGACGAGACCUGGGCCAUGGGAUCUCUGCCCUCAAGACAGCUGACAAUCAGGGAGAGAAGGAGAAUACAUGUUGUAUCCUGGUGAGGAGAAGCAGUCACCUGCAAUCCCGAGGACCAUCUGCACCUUCCAGAACAGAAAAGCAAGGCUGGUUGGGUUAGUCCUGAGAUCAGCAGCUGUGCAUUUGUGCUUCAAAGAGAAGCCUUUGGGACUUACCUGGUGGCACAGUGGUUAAGAAUCCACCUGCCAAUGCAGGGGACAAGGGUUCGAGCCCUGGUCAGGGAAGAUCCCACAUGCUGUUGAGCAACUAACGCGCCACAACUACUGAGCCUGUGCUCUAGAGCCCGCAAACCACAACUACUGAGCCCACGUGCCACAACUACUGAAGCCUGGCCACAACAAGAGAAGCCACUGCAGUGAGAAGCCUGCACACCACAUCGAAGAGUGGCCCCUGCUCGCUGCAACUACAGAAAGCCCGUGCACAGCAACGAAGACCCAAUGCAGCCAAAAAUAAAUAAAUAAAAAAGAGAAGCCCUCAGGCAAAGGAAGCGGUUUCCUUUGGGUUGACCUCAUUCUAGGGCUAAUGUUAGGCUCCUGGAGGUGGGUGAGACGCACAUUUUCCUUCCAGUGUUCAAAGGGAGUGAAAUACAAAAUAAUGUUAAGCUUGCCCAAACUCAGGGAAUAGAUACCCUCAUUUUAGGAAAAAAAUGAUAAUACAAGAAACAGAUGAAAAAAAGUUCUAAGGUGAAUAAUUCUUAAACCAUGUUUUCUUCUCUUUUCCUAUGCAGAUCCAAUGUAUAAAAAAUAAAUAUAGACUUGCUGGUGGAAGUAGUAGUCCUUAAUAUCCUCCUGAAAAAUGCCAUGGAACAAGUGUAACUAUUGAAAGCUGGUUUCUUACUGAUCACAAAGUCAAACAAUUUACUCUGGAGCUAUAAGGUAUCAAAAAAAAAAAGAAGUUGAUGGAAAUCAGACUUCUAUGCCAUAAGUGGAUAAGAUGUGACAGAGGUUAGACCUUCCCUGACCAGCCGCCUCACCAGAACUCUGUCUACUUCCCUGCUCAGCUUCUUCCACAGCCCCCAGCAAUAUCUGACACUCCAUCUAGCCGCCCCCCAGAGCAGAAACUUCUCGAAGGCAGGUAUUUUUUGCCAUGUGGACAGCUGCAUUCCUAGUGCCUAGAAAAACAUUUGGCACAAAGCGGGUGCUCAGUAUAUGCUCUUAAAAGAAUAAAUGAAUCUAAGCUUAUUCCUUGGCUCCUUUUUUCUUUUGAAAGAACUUAUAACUUGACUAACUUUAAUUUUACACAUUCUGAUUAAAGCACAUGUGUAAGGUAACAAUUCUCUUAACAUCCAUAAAGAAGCUCUGAUUCUUCUGUAAAUCACAUUCGGUGCUUCCCUCCGCCCCUCCCUGUCUUAAAUAGGCUUGAUUAGUGUGAGACCAUCAAAAUAACAUUUAUUAACAAAAGUACAGUAAAUGCUAAAAAGCUGACAGCUGAAUUAAAGACUUGGCAUGCGAAUGCAAUAGCUAAGUAGAAGCUUUCAUUCUGGCUCAGCACUGCUGAGGAUAAAUUGACCUGCAGAAUUCAUUAUGAAUAGAGCAAAAAGAUGAAACAGAAUAAAUCUGAUUUUUCCUUUCUUAGGAUAAAAUUCACAACUAAAACAGACUACUGAAGGAGAAAUGGCCAUAAAGCUAUAUACACAACGAUAAGAACCUUGGGGAGGCAAAAAAGAGAGAGGGCUGGGCUUGAGGGUGGAAGGGCAGCCUCGGGCUUGGCCACUCACAGUCUGGGUGUCCUCACUUGGACCAUCUAUGAAACAGGGAUACACCCCCCUUCCAGUCUACCUUAGAAGGUUGCUGUAAAGAUUAAUUUAACUGCUGAUACAGGAUUGCUGUAAAAACUGUAAAGUACUAUUAAACAUAAGGUACUUUCCAUCAGUCUAACGACCCUGCGAAGUAUAUAAACUGGAGGAGUGUAUAAAUCUGUAUCAAAAGGUACACGAAUCUAACCAUUGCUUCCUUAUUCAGAUGAGGUCAAAGCCUGUGGACAUCGUCCAAGGACACUAACAAAUGGCCUUUCACUUGCCUUCCUAGACUCAGAGCUCCUUGCCUUCCACCAAGAGGUUCAACUGUAUAAUGCAGCUAACUCUGGAGAUCUCCAAAUCUUGGAUUAGUCCUGGAGAAAGGGCUGUUUGGGAAAAAAAAAAAUACGUGAUACAAGGCAGCUAGUUAAGUUAGAUCAACUUUAAGAACAGAGAAAGUCAAUCUUAACCUAUGUGAAGAGGCUGUCUUUCAAAUCUGGUGAAGGGGUGACUUCCCAGGAUGCAACGCAAGUCGAAGUUAGGGCCUCUGGGGAAGGGAGUUAAUUUGGUGCGGAGAGCCCGGCAGUCGGAAGUCCUGAGUUUACUAGCUGUGUGACCUUGGGCAAAUGAAAUGACCUUACCCUUCUCAACUGUAAAAUGGAGGAAAUAAUACCAAUUGUGCCACAUGGUUUCCGGAAGGAUUUUAAACACAUAAAUUCAUGGGAAAAGUGCUUAAAAAUUGCAAGGCACUUUGCCAGUCUUUGUUAUUACUUUCUAAGAAUUAUGCUCUUUGCAGUUCUUUCCACUGCAAAGUAAUGUAAUCUAUGGAAAAUGAAGAAAAGAGACAAAUAUAUAACAUGAACACAAUAGCCAGAGUGAACAUGUUGGUGUAUUUGCUUCCAGUCAAACAGAUGAGAGAAUCCACCCAAGAAGCUCAGACGAGGGCCUGAUGCGGGGUGAGCACAGGACAGAUGCUAAUCAAGGGCAUAGCCUCACAGGGGUGGAGGAGAUGAGGCGCCCCAAGCAGCAGUGACCGCAGGGCAGGACAUCAAACAACCCAAUGAUCUAGUCUCAUCUCACACGGAAGACACCACUGUGGGUCAGCCAUGCUAGUGGUUUGUCCAUGGGUCAGAGUUAAGGCAGGAUUAGGACUACAACCAAGUAUAAAUCCAGCUCCUUUAAAUUAAUUGGCCUUUUUAGACCAACUAUUUUACUUUUUAAAAGUAAACUUUUUAGUUUCGUUUGAAACAUGGUUGCUCAUUUUCACUUCAUUUUCAUCUGUUUACUGUUAUUGUCAUCAUAAGUUUGCAUGCAGUAUAAACACUGUACAUUUAGUAAAUGUAAAUGGGUACAUUUCAGCUUCUCACUUCCAAAUUGCCUUUGUGUCUGGCUAAAGCCCCGAGUAAGAGUAAGAGAAACGGGAGCGUGGGAGUGGAGGGCGGCGCACUAAAAAUAGACCUGAACGGAUGAAACCCAGUCCCACUUGACAUCCACAUUAAACCUGAUGGAGGGGAAUCUCUUUGGGAGUCAGAACCCGAGAAGCACAAACCUGGAAGAUGAAAGAGCCUGAGAGCUAGAGUACAAGGAAGAUUUAAAUCGAAGAUAAACCAGGCACAAAAAAGGAAAGGAUGUUGGUAAUCUGAGAUCAGUUUCAGAAAUACGAAUGGUUUGAUGAAAAUGAUGGAGGCUCUUGUGUGUGUACACAAGUGGUUUUAGAGUUUGCAGAAAUCUUUUGAAACUUUCCCCAAACUCAGCACAUUAAUCAAAAAGAUAAAUGAUGUAAGUAAGACAAGCGAAGUGCCAAAGGAUCUAAGUUUUCUGUGCUACCCCAAUGUUUGGUACUGUACCUUUGGUAAUAAAGUCUAAAAAGUC